UCGACUUUCUCUUCAAGGGGAUGAAGCUGGACGUGGAGGAGCUGCUCAAGUGCCCGGCCUACCUGAGCAAGAAGAGCAUGGAUAGAGUGAAGAUCCGGUGGAAGGUGCUGUCCUUGCUCAAGUCCAGAGGGAUCAUCCAAAGGAUCCAUCUCAAGGACAUGGUCACUUUACCCAGGAAAUGGUUCGUGGAGACCUUCGUGUUCAAGUAUCCCGAUUGUGGAAGGGUCGACUAUGGCGAACGAUCGGCGUUGAAGCAAGCUCGUGCGGAAGCUAGAGGGGAGAGAUCAACGUCAUACUACUAGUCACAGGUGCUCUUUACAAGCACUAGCAACGCAAGACAGGCUCACAUCUGACUUGUCUCCUUGCGAGUUGAGAGCUCUUCGUAUCUCGUAAGAUGAUGCUGUGUUCUUGUCCUGUUUGGAAUCAGAAUCGAAGUUAGCUGUGUGCUUCUUUUCA